CCACAACAUGCUGACCUACGGGAAUACGUUUUGAGUAGGAGAUGGAUUAACAUGUCACAAAGGGCGUGGGCUACUGCUGACAGAAAACACACAGGACAGUCCGGCCGCUGUCUUUGGCAGUGUUGGACAGAUGCUUGACCAAGGCCCGGCUGACCAAACGGGGGUUCGGGCGGUCGGUACCGGACGGUCUGUACGCGUCAUCACUGUACGCAGGCGGGAGGUCCCGGGACAGCGGCAUUCCUGAAACACGAAAUCAACGAUCUCAGACUUCCGUGAAAUGUCUUCGUCAUGUGACGUUCACAAUUGAAUCAACAUAGACGAACGUGUCAGAGGGAGUAAAAGAUUUGGUACUUGCCGGUGGAUCCAUAGUCCGGA